GCACUCACUCAGGAGCACAUACACUAAAGUUGGAACAAUGUAGAUGAGAUUAGCAUGGCCCCUGCACAAGGAUGACAUGCAAACUCAUGAAGAAUUCCUCAUUUAA
rnacentral:snRNA from 1 species